rnacentral:rRNA from 1 species
UACGUAGGGAGCAAGCGUUGUUCGGAUUUACUGGGCGUAAAGGGCGCGUAGGCGGCAAUUCAAGUCAUCUGUGAAAUCUCCGGGCUUAACUCGGAACGGUCAGAUGAUACUGCUUUGCUAGAGUGCAGAAGGGGCAAUCGGAAUUCUCGGUGUAGCGGUGAAAUGCGUAGAUAUCGAGAGGAACACCAGAGGUGAAGACGGGUUGCUGGGCUGACACGUGACGCUGGAGGCGCGAAAGCCAGGGGAGCAAACGGG